UUUAAGCGUAACCUUGAGUUUCCAUGUCUAAUUUUGAUCGUCUAUCUUAUUUGAAAUAUUUUAUGACUAGUAUUUUUAUUGAUGUUAGAUGACAAAACAUGAAUAAUACUUUAUGCGUGACUUAUAUUUUUGUUUUUUUAAUUUUUAGAAAAGUUUUCAAAUAAGACGGACGAUUAAAGUUGGACACGAAAACUCAUGGCUGCGUUUAAA
rfam:Oryza nivara chromosome 10, whole genome shotgun sequence.